rnacentral:rRNA from 1 species
AUGGGAGCUUGCUUCCUGAUGUUAGCGGCGGACGGGUGAGUAACACGUGGGUAACCUGCCUGUAAGACUGGGAUAACUCCGGGAAACCGGGGCUAAUACCGGAUGGUUGUUUGAACCGCAUGGUUCAGACAUAAAAGGUGGCUUCGGCUACCACUUACAGAUGGACCCGCGGCGCAUUAGCUAGUUGGUGAGGUAACGGCUCACCAAGGCGACGAUGCGUAGCCGACCUGAGAGGGUGAUCGGCCACACUGGGACUGAGACACGGCCCAGACUCCUACGGGAGGCAGCAGUAGGGAAUCUUCCGCAAUGGACGAAAGUCUGACGGAGCAACGCCGCGUGAGUGAUGAAGGUUUUCGGAUCGUAAAGCUCUGUUGUUAGGGAAGAACAAGUGCCGUUCAAAUAGGGCGGCACCUUGACGGUACCUAACCAGAAAGCCACGGCUAACUACGUGCCAGCAGCCGCGGUAAUACGUAGGUGGCAAGCGUUGUCCGGAAUUAUUGGGCGUAAAGGGCUCGCAGGCGGUUUCUUAGUCUGAUGUGAAAGCCCCCGGCUCAACCGGGGAGGGUCAUUGGAAACUGGGGAACUUGAGUGCAGAAGAGGAGAGUGGAAUUCCACGUGUAGCGGUGAAAUGCGUAGAGAUGUGGAGGAACACCAGUGGCGAAGGCGACUCUCUGGUCUGUAACUGACGCUGAGGAGCGAAAGCGUGGGGAGCGAACAGGAUUAGAUACCCUGGUAGUCCACGCCGUAAACGAUGAGUGCUAAGUGUUAGGGGGUUUCCGCCCCUUAGUGCUGCAGCUAACGCAUUAAGCACUCCGCCUGGGGAGUACGGUCGCAAGACUGAAACUCAAAGGAAUUGACGGGGGCCCGCACAAGCGGUGGAGCAUGUGGUUUAAUUCAAAGCAACGCGAAGAACCUUACCAGGUCUUGACAUCCUCUGACAAUCCUAAAGAUAGGACGUCCCCUUCGGGGG